GGGGGGGGGGGGGGGGGGGGGGGGGGGGGGGGGGGGGGGGGGGGGGGGGGGGGGGGGGGGGGGGGGGGGGGGGGGGGGGGGGGGGGGGGGGGGGGGGGGGGGGGGGGGGGGGGGGGGGGGUGGUCCUUGAUGUCCCCAGAAUGGGCUGGGGGGUGGCACUGAACUGUGGGGUGUCCCCAGUGUCCCCAGAGCCGGCCCGGGGAUGGCACUGAACUGUGGGUGGUCCUCGAUGUCCCCAAACCCUCCCCGGGGGGUGGCACUGAACUGUGGGUGGUCCUUGAUGUCCCCAGAAUGGGCCCGGGGGUGGCACUGAACUGUGGGGUGUCCCCAGUGUCCCCAGAGCCGGCCCGGGGAUGGCACUGAACUGUGGGUGGUCCUCAGUGUCCCCAAACCCUCCCCGGGGGGUGGCACUGAAGUGUGGGGUGUCCCCAGUGUCCCCAAACCGUCCCCGGGGGGUGACACUGAACUGUGGGUGGUCCUUGAUGUCCCCAGAGCCAUCCUGGGGCGUGGCACUGAACUGUGGGUGGUCCCCAGUGUCCCCAGAGUGGGCCCGGGGGUGGCACUGAACUGUGGGUGGUCCCCAGAGCUGGCCUGGGGCGUGGCACUGAACUGUGGGGUGUCCCCAGUGUCCCCAAACCCUCCCCGGGGGGGUGGCACUGCCCACUAAUGAAUGGUGGGUGGCACUGAACCGUGGGUGGUCCUCGAUGUCCCCAGGUUCCCCCUGGGGGUGACAGGGAGGUGGCACUGCCCACCCAAUGAAUGGUGGGUGGUCCCUGAUGUCCCAAACCAACCCCCAGGGGGUGGCGCUGAAUUGUGGGUGGUCCUCAAUGUCCCCAAACCCUCCUCGGGGGGGGGGGGGGGGGGGGGGGGGGGGGGGGGGGGGGGGGGGGGGGGGGGGGGGGGGGGGGGGGGGGGGGGGGGGGGGGGGGGGGGGGGGGGGGGGGGGGGGGGGGGGGGGGGGGGGUGGCAGGGCAGGGUGGUGGCACUGCCCGCUGAAUGAAUGGUGGGUGGUCCCCGAUGUCCCCAACCCCCUGGGGUGUGGCACUGCCCACUGCCCACACAUCCCUGAUGUCCCCAAACCUGUCGUGGGGGGUGGCACUGCCCACUGCCCACACGUCCCUGGUGUCCCCAAACCGGUCCUGGGGUGUGGCAGGGGGGGGGGGGGGGGGGGGGGGGGGGGGGGGGGGGGGGGGGGGGGGGGGGGGGGGGGGGGGGGGGGGGGGGGGGGGGGGGGGGGGGGGGGGGGGGGGGGGGGGGGGGGGGGGGGGGGGGGGGGGGGGGGGGGGGGGGGGGGGGGGGGGGGGGGGGGGGGGGGGGGGGGGGUCCCCAGCCCCCUGGGGGGUGGCACUGCCCACGUGUCCCUGAUGUCCCCGCUCUGUCCCCUCAGUGAUGGACGGCUCGCUGCCCACCUCCCUGAAGCACAUCAUCAGCAACGCCGAGUACUACGGCCCCUCGCUCUUCCUGCUGGCGACCGAGGUGGUGACGGUGUUCGUGUUCCAGGAGCCCUCGCUGCUGUCCUCGCUGCAGGACAACGGCCUCACCGACGUCAUGCUGCACGCGCUGCUCAUCAAGGACGUGAGUCACCUCUGCUGUCACCUGUCCUACCUGUCACCUGUGCUACCUGUCACCUGUCCUACCUGUCCCCUGUGCUGUCACCUGUCCUACCUGUCACCUGUCCCUUCCCCUGUCACCUGUGUUACCUGUCCCCCUGUGUAUCCCCUCACUGAUGUCAUGCUGUAUGCCUUGCUCAUCGAGGACGUGAGUCUGCCUCACCUGUCCUACACCUGUCACCUUACCUGUCGCCUGUCCUGUCACCUGUCCUGCCACCUGUCCUGCCUGUCUUGUUACCUGUGCUACCUGUCCCCUCACCUGUGCUACCUGUCAUUACGUGUCCCUCUGUGUAUCCCCUCACCGACGUCAUUGUCAUGCUGUAUGCCUUGCUCAUCGAGGACGUGAGUCUGCCUCACCUGUCCUACACCUGUCACCUUACCUGUCGCCUGUCCUGUCACCUGUCCUGCCACCUGUCCUGCCUGUCUUGUUACCUGUGCUACCUGUCCCCUCACCUGUGCUACCUGUCCUGUACCUGUUCCCUCACCUGUCUCUCUGUGUGUAUCCCUCACUGACGUCACACUGUAUGCACUGCUCGUGAAAGACGUGAGUCUGGGUCACCUGUCCUACACCUGCCACCUGUCCCACCUGUCACCUGUGCCCUUGUCCAUGCCUUCACCUGUCCCCCUGUGUAUUCCCUCAUUGAUGUCGUGCUGCUCGUGCUGCUCAUCGAGGAUGUGAGUCUGCCUCACCUGUCCCACACUUGUCACCUCACCUGUCGCCUGUGCUACCUGUCACCUGUCGCUUCCCCUGUCACCUGUGCUACCUGUCCCCUUGUGUAUUCCCUCACUGUUGUCAUACUGCACACACUGCUCAUCAAGGAUGUGUGUCUGCCUCACCUUUCCUACACCUGUCACCUUACCUGUCACUUGUCCUAUCACCUCACCUGUCAUACCUGUCACCUGUCCUAUACCUGUUCCUUUGUGUAUCCCCUCACCAACAUCAUGCUGCACGCGCUGCUCAUCGAGGACGUGAGUCUGGGUCACCUGUCACCUGUCCUACCUGUCACCUGUCCUGCCUGUCACCUGUCCUCCCCA
ensembl:lncRNA